rnacentral:rRNA from 1 species
UUGAACGCUGGCGGCAGGCCUAACACAUGCAAGUCGCACGGUAGCACAGAGAGCUUGCUCUCGGGUGACGAGUGGCGGACGGAUGAGUAAUGUCUGGGAAACUGCCCGAUGGAGGGGGAUAACUACUGGAAACGGUAGCUAAUACCGCAUAAUGUCGCAAGACCAAAGAGGGGGACCUUCGGGCCUCUUGCCAUCGGAUGUGCCCAGAUGGGAUUAGCUUGUUGGUGAGGUAAUGGCUCACCAAGGCGACGAUCCCUAGCUGGUCUGAGAGGAUGACCAGCCACACUGGAACUGAGACACGGUCCAGACUCCUACGGGAGGCAGCAGUGGGGAAUAUUGCACAAUGGGCGCAAGCCUGAUGCAGCCAUGCCGCGUGUGUGAAGAAGGCCUUCGGGUUGUAAAGCACUUUCAGCGGGGAGGAAGGCGAUACGGUUAAUAACCGUGUUGAUUGACGUUACCCGCAGAAGAAGCACCGGCUAACUCCGUG